rnacentral:rRNA from 1 species
GAUGAACGCUGGCGGCGUGCCUAAUACAUGCAAGUCGAGCGAACGGACGAGAAGCUUGCUUCUCUGAUGUUAGCGGCGGACGGGUGAGUAACACGUGGAUAACCUACCUAUAAGACUGGGAUAACUUCGGGAAACCGGAGCUAAUACCGGAUGAUAUUUUGAACCGCAUGGUUCAAAAGUGAAAGACGGUCUCGCUGUCACUUAUAGAUGGAUCCGCGCUGCAUUAGCUAGUUGGUAAGGUAACGGCUUACCAAGGAAACGAUGCAUAGCCGACCUGAGAGGGUGAUCGGCCACACUGGAACUGAGACACGGUCCAGACUCCUACGGGAGGCAGCAGUAGGGAAUCUUCCGCAAUGGGCGAAAGCCUGACGGAGCAACGCCGCGUGAGUGAUGAAGGUCUUCGGAUCGUAAAACUCUGUUAUUAGGGAAGAACAUAUGUGUAAGUAACUGUGCACAUCUUGACGGUACCUAAUCAGAAAGCCACGGCUAACUACGUG